GGUAUAUACAAUCCUGGACGGCUGACACCGACAAUGAUCAAGUACUUCAUUUUGGCAUCGUGUCUAAUUGCUCUUUCUUUACAGGCUAUAGGCCCGAUUGACCCUAACUGGCCCAGUCGAACCUCCUGUUCCAGUGGAUAUGAUUGUCCAGUUGGACACUGCUGUGUGACCUCCUACGAAAAAAGGGGAUAUUUGCCACCUUCGGAGAUUAACUCUGGUAGAACCGGCCACUGUUUGCCCUGUUUGGGAUAGGAUUUUGCUAGAAAAAAUUGUGACGCAGUAGUUCGGGAAAUAAAACAGAAAUAUAUCUUGGUUUUUUCAGAUGGG